UUGGAGGGCAAGUCUGGUGCCAGCAGCCGCGGUAAUUCCAGCUCCAAUAGCGUAUAUUAAAGUUGUUGCAGUUAAAAAGCUCGUAGUUGAAUUUCGAGAUCGGCUUACUGGUCGUGCUUUUGUACGUACUGGUAUAAUCGGUUUCUCCUUUCUGACGAACUUUAAUGCCAUUAAUUUGGUGUUUUAGGGAAUCAGGACUGUUACUUUGAAAAAAUUAGAGUGUUUAAAGAAGGCUCACGCUCGAAUACAUUAGCAUGGAAUAACGGAAUAGGACGUUUGAUUCUAUUUUGUUGGUUUCUAGGAUCGACGUAAUGAUUAAUAGGGAUAGUUGGGGGCAUUAGUAUUCAAUUGUCAGAGGUGAAAUUCUUGGAUUUAUUGAAGACUAACUACUGCGAAAGCAUUUGCCAAGGAUGUUUUCAUUAAUCAAGAACGAAAGUUAGGGGAUCGAAGACGAUCAGAUACCGUCGUAGUCUUAACCAUAAACUAUGCCGACUAGGGAUCGGAUGAUGUUAAUUUUUUAAUGACUCAUUCGGCGCCUUACGGGAAAC
rnacentral:rRNA from 1 species